rnacentral:rRNA from 1 species
UACGUAGGUGGCAAGCGUUGUCCGGAAUUAUUGGGCGUAAAGGGUGCGUAGGCGGUUUGGUAAGUCUCUUGUGAAAUCUAUGGGCUCAACUCAUAGUCUGCAAGGGAAACUGCCGGGCUUGAGUGUGGGAGAGGUGAGUGGAAUUUCCGGUGUAGCGGUGAAAUGCGUAGAUAUCGGAAGGAACACCUGUGGCGAAAGCGGCUCACUGGACCACAACUGACGCUGAUGCACGAAAGCUAGGGGAGCAAACAGG